GGGUUUUCGUUUCUUUUUUUUUUUCUUGGGGGUAUUUCGGGUUUUGUGGUUUUUGGUCAUUUGCAUCUGACUCUCUGCUUCUUUCUCUGAUUCCAUUGGGAUGUGUAUUGUGUUUGUUUGUUCUCUUUUGGGUUUAUUUUGUUAGAUUUGGUUCAGUUUGAUUGAUUUUGUUUUAGAGGAGGUGAAGAUCCUUAAACUGUAAUCAGAGUGUCAUCAGGCCAUUGGAUAUGGAGUGUAGUGGAAAUUUGAACUACUGUUAAGAAUUAGGUGUGCUGUGGGCCUGUGACAAUUGAUCGCAAGGGAGUAUACAUUAUUUACUUUAAGCUAUUUGGCAUAUUCACAAAAAGCUCUGCACUUUUUCUUUUUCUUUUUUAAUAAUUUCUCUUAUACACUUGCUUGUAUUUCCCUCUGUUGCCUUGGAAGCUAAUAUGUUUUGAUUAUAUAAUUGUACUUGAUGUCGGCUUUGGGUUUAAUGCUAUUACAUGUCUUGCCUUAUAUUUGAAAGUUAAUUUUUAUCAGGUUCAGUUGCAGAUAU
rnacentral:misc_RNA from 1 species